GCCUGGGUGGCUCAGUGGUUGAGCAUCUGCCUUUGACUCAGGUCGUGAUCCUGGGGUCCUGGGAUCAAGUCCCACAUCAGGCU
rnacentral:tRNA from 1 species